CGAGAGCCUCUCGGCCGAGCCCGAGCACAGAGGGGCUUGGAAGACUCCACGACCUGCUCGCCCCGUCCAAGGGAGAGCUCAGUUUUAGGUGUAGAGUCCCGGUGACUCAGAGGAGAGAUGUUCCAGAGCUGAUUGGCUGCCGGCAGGCCACAGGAGGGGAGCCGAGAGGGGAGGGGACCGUGAGCUGGCACCUGGCAGGUGAGCGCACACCUACAGAGGGGCCCAGCCUGAGCCCGACAGGUGGAGCCAGCCCCAAGGGGCCGCAGCCCGAGGUCCAGUCUCAUGUCCUCCUUCCGCCCACAAAGCAGGUGUCCUUAUAAGAUGCAGAGAACCGGACACAGACAGGCAGACAGACACUGGGGAGACAGCCACGUGACGAUGGAGGAGCAGAGCAAAGCAUCUACAAGCGAAGGAGAGCCUCGAUGGCCUGGAAACACCCCCCGCAGGUUUCAGAGGGGUGAGCGCUGCUGACAGCUUGGCCUUGGGCUUCUGGCCUCCAGAACCGUGGGACGGUGACGUCCUGUUGUCUGAGCCACAGUUUGUGGUACUUCACUGUGGCAGCUCCAGGAAGCUGAAGACAACUGCUCUAACCCGAUAAACAUGAUCCGCUGGAAUGUGCCUCUGGGAUAAAAUUUGCUGUGUCGGGGGCGAUUCUUUCCCACUAAAAGAUGAAGAUUAAAGUCCAGCCCGGAAGAGGAACCAAGGUCAGACGUCGUUCUCCCCUCUGGUGACGAGAUCGUGCCGGCUCUUGAGGCUGCUUUUGUCUGCUCCAGCUUUGUCGCUUUAAUUCCCCUGAAGACACGCGCCCUACCACCGACAGAGCCACCGUUCUCUCCGUGGUCUGCGUACAAACCAAUGUCCUGAUCACCAGGUCCUAGGAUGAGACAAGACGAGCCUGCCCACGAGUCCCCUCCCGGGGCCCCCCGGGCCAGCUGUGAGUGUUUCUUUGGCAGUGUCUUAGCUGGUUGUUGUGAGUAAUAGUGAAGGAAGCAAUCAGCAAGUCUACUGCCCUAGAAGUGCGGCACGUUGGCGGCCGAGAGGGAGGGGAAGGCAGGAGGUGCAGGGCUGUUGCGAGAAGCUCCGCUCCAGGAUGCCGGUUGGUGAGUGCUGCUGGGGGGCAGCUGGAGGGCCCCUGUGAAGGCUGAAGGAAAACAGCACAGGGGCCGGGCCAUGGAGGGCUCCAGCAAGGGUGGGAUGGUGGGCUUCUGGCUGGGGCAGAGUUUGCCCAUCGGGCUGAUGAUCACCAGCAUUUACAGGACACUUCCUGUGCUGGCAGCCUUGCCCUGAGUGUUCUAAAUGUAAUAAUAGCUCAUGAGCUAGAGUCCCUUAUCCCCAUCUUACACAGACAAACUCAGAAGCACAAAGAGAAAAAUUAACUGCAGAUACAGUGAAUAGAAAAGGGGGCUGGGUUUGAAUCUGAACAGAUUCUCUUAGCCACUGGCUCGGGUCCUCCGAGAGGGGCCUGGGUGGGUUUUGCUCCCCAUGGACCUGAUUUGAAUGUGAACCAUGCACACGCUGUCGCACCCAUGAGACAAAUCCUGAUUGCAGUCAUUAAGCUGGAGAAGGCGUCUGCCCGAGCAGUGGAGAAGUCUCCACACUGGGGAGAACUCUUCUUUUCAGUCAAAGCCAAGCCCAGGAUAUCCACGGGCAUGAGAAGCUGGUGGUGGUUUCUGUCCCUUGGCCUGUAAGAAAGCUUCCUCCAAGGGGACUCGGCCGAGAUGAGAGUCAAGUUCUCUGGGUCCCACCAGCUCCGCCUACAGAAGACAACUUUGGGUCCACCGAACCUCAGUUCAGUCCAGCUGGGUUGUGUGGCAGUGGGAACUGCACCCAAGGCCCGAGGGUAGAGCAUGAAGACGCAGUGGUGCUUCUCCAGGUCUGGGACAGGACACAGCCAUGGUCUCCAGUGAGCCUGCGAUAAGCCACGAGUGGGGCCUGUACUUCGGCAGACCUCACGGGAGCAGCCUUGGCCUUGGCUUUCUCCCUUCAGCCUCUUGGCACUCUGUGGUGUUCUCCACAUCCCGCUCUUUUCUCCAUGGUUCUCCAAUCUGGCACCUGCAGAAAUUGAUCCUAGCCUGAGAGGUGAUGCUGAAGGUCAGUGCCCUGCUCCUCUGACCCCACUGGCGAAGACGACCUGCUCCCUGUCAAGCCACUGCCCAGGCACCACCUGCCCACACCACCUGCCUAUCCCAGUGCUUCCCAGACUUGGAGGGGAGAGGAGCCUGCUUCUGUUCUGACCACUUUAUGAAGGUCAGAAGGCGCCUUUGAGAGUUUUUCUGGGAUUCGGAGACCAUCCUUGGCCUUGACACACUCUGGCCACUAAGACCUCCCUCCAUUCUAAGCCUGUUCUCCCUUUCUCUUACCACUGGAGAGCAAAGCGAGCAGCCGGGCUCCUUCGGCAAAAUCUCAUCCCUCCUGGAAUUGUUCUGUUGUCCUCAAAGAGGCUGGAGCUCCAAGGGGUCGCUUCAGGGAGGGUCCCUCUGUGACACACAUGGGAUUGACCGAGCCCAGCCCGCCACAAAUUCCCCUCUGCUCCCCGGGCCUACUGAGCUGGGCGUGGGCUGGAGUGGGGCUGGUGAAACGCCCGGAAUGCCGGCUGGAAUUACAGACCAACACUGAGAAUUCCUUACGGGAGUUUUUUUCCGAGGCAGCAUUUAGGAUUGCUUUAGAUCUGAAGUCUUUACAUUUUCCCCAAUUUUAGGAAGAAGUAAAGAAUGUCUUUUUUUUCCCUCAACCACUGAUUUUUUUCCAGGUACUGAACUUUUAGGGGCCGCUUGCUGGGUUUAUGAACUCACUAGCCUAUUAAUUUGAGUUCAGGUGGAAAAAGUACAAAUAACCUCUUUUUCUAUCUAGGUUUGAUUUUAGUUAUGCCAACAUAAAAACAAGAGAGGUUGUCAUUCUCAGAUACAGUUCACCAGUGGAAGUUCCUGGGAAAUUAAUAGAGAAAUGGAGACAGCAGGCAAUUUUUGUUUCAGUUUAGGUCUUUGAUAAAACUAAUGUUCAUGGUAAUUUGAUUUGCUGUAGCGGACUUUAGAGCAGCUGGGAUGUAUUUUGUCACUUUUAUAUCUCACAGUAGAAGAACUGUAGAUACUCAGACAUUCUUUUUUACUGGGCUCUUUGCCUUUCUAGAAAUUCUGGAAGAUGAGAGGAGCAGGGUUGGCUCCAUGGGGUGAUUUUAGAAUGGGUUAGGACAUUAGGAGCUCUGCACAUACACAGCUGCUGUGAUUUGGGGAACUGGGGUGAAGGUCCAAUAAGUUGAGAACAUCCAGGCCCGUGAGAGUGUACUUCUGCUCUUGGGGAUGUGUGAGUAGAUUCUAGACAGCAGUUCCUGAGUUGGAGAGAAAGCUGGAGGUUUUCAUGUUUGACUUGAAUAUGGAGGCAGUGGAGUUAGAUGCAAAUUUUACGUUCUGGGGGGAAGUGCUUGACUUCUCGACUGUGAGGCAAAGUGAGGUUUUAAAAAUAUUUAUUGACGUCCAUCACUGGAUGAACGGAUAAACAAAAUGUGCUAUAUCUACACAAUGACAUAUUAUUCAGCUGCAAAAAAGGAAUGAAGUUUGGAUACAUGCGACAAUAUGGAUGGACCAUGAAGACAUCACAUUGAGUGAAAUAGGCCAGACACAAAAGUACAAAUAUUGUAUGAUUUCAUUUAAAUGAAAUAAUUGGAAUAUGCAAAUUCAUAGUACCAGAAAUUAGAAUUUAGGGGCCAAGGUCGAGGUAAGGAAUGAGGAGAAAUCCUUAACUGAUGGAGAGUUUCUGUUUGGGGGAUGGGAAGGUUCUGGCAGUGGAUGAUGGUGAUGGUAGCAAACAUCAUGAAUAUAAUUAACAUCACUGAAUUGUAAACUAGGGAAGUAAUUA